rnacentral:lncRNA from 1 species
UCAAAGAUCAUAGAAUAAAGAAUUAAAAGAACUGGCCAGUGAGGGCUGGCAGCACAUGGAACUCUUUCCCCUUCUAGAGGACGGGCACCUCAUGUCUUCUGAGUGGGGGUCCAUAGGGCAGGGUCUGGGUGGGAGGGGUGAAGAUGCCUCUGACAACACCAACUUCCAGGGAGAUGGACCAUUUGUUGAGGGGGGUACAUUUGGACUGGGCAUUCACCUUUAUUUCUGUCUCUCAAUGUCUUUCUUCAUGGAUAAAUCAUUUCUUAAAAUUCCAAAGUUAUUCCCUUCCUCCCAAAAGAGCUUUAUCACGUAAAUUAGGCACCUGGGAUUCAAUCUUGUGGUGAUGAUGAAGUCCUCACAUGGCUCCUGUCUCUAACCCUCCUCUCUCUUCUCCCUCACUACUUGGGACCAGGAAGGGCCCUCCUCCUCCCAGACCUGGAGGUCUUCCUGCCACUGUGACACUCUCCUAUGCCCUCUCCUGCUGGUCCUUGUUGCACUAGUGAUGGAGAGAGGGUUUGGCCCACAUUCUCCUGGUCCUCACCAGCCAGGAGAUGUUUCUCUAGGCCAUGCCCUAGGAAGGCCCCACUUCACUGAUUCACUCUUUCAUUCAUCCAGUCAAUAUGAAUUUGUGCUUCUCACGUACCAGGCGCACCUCACUUCUCACUGAAACCUCACACAGCUCUAGGAGCAAUAACAUCAGGUCCUAUUAUUUCUUUGUCCUUGUUUGUGGAUGAAGAAAUGGAGGCUCAGAAGGGUUAAGCAGCUUGCCUGAGGCCACAUGUUUCGGGGAUGGGGGGGUGGGGAACAGCAUUGUUGUACUAGGACAGAGAGUCAGAAUCUAGGCAAGUACAUUCCAUGCCACGAGGCUGAUUGGGGUCUGUUCAGUACAGCUCCUCAAACCACACUCAAAGCAGAGGAAGCUACAUGACAGUGAACACCAAGGGUUUCCUGGAGGUGUGUGGCCUGAGGCCAGGAAGGACCAGGUGAGGAAAGGGCCACAGGCUGCUAGUGUAUGCAUUGACUUUAUAUAUAUGUGUGUAUAUAUAUAUAUAUGUAAAUGAUUUUUAUUUUUUCCAUUAUAGCUGGUUUACAGUUCUGUCAAUUUUCUACUGUACAGCAUGGUGACCCACUUACACAUACAUGUAUACAUUCUUUGCAUUGACUUUUGAUUUUUAGCAUCAGCAAGGCAGAACCCCAGUGUGGUGGGCCAGAGUGGUCAGAGAGUCUUUGAUGACCCUGAAUGAGGUCUGCUGGUGGGAAUUUAGUUCUAUCAUUACCUUUUGAGCUCUUACCAUGUGCCAGGCACAAGCCUUGCCCCAGGCAUCUCAUAUGGCACCAGCUGCCACCCUGUGCUGUGGCCCGGAUCUCUGGGGUCUCUUGGCUUGGCUCGGCUUUGUCGCUUACAUCCCUCUGUCCCUGAUUGCCCAUAUUUAAGCUAGGAGUGUCAGGUCAUGCCAGCCAUAAAAUCCCCAAGCUUCUGGGUCCCUGCAGUCCAUGCAGCACAGCUGGCCCCCAUCAGGAGCUCUCUUUCCCCUGUUCCUAGUCCAGGUCUAGACAGCUUCUAUUCACCAGGGUCUCCCCUGAACUCAGCUGAGCUCCAGCCUCUGUGAGUCACAGGAUGGGAAUCAGCUGAGGGCCAGUCCUGGCGAGCCCUGAAUAAUGCAUCAAAGCAGGAUGAACCUGCUGAGCCUUCAGGAUAAGGGAAGGGAGGUGCCAGAUAACAGAAGAAUCAAUGGAUCCCCUGACCCAGGAAGAACAUUAGAGGCUCCUACAGCCUUUUCCAUCCCUGGUGUGCAAGGGGGCCCCCGAGGACUUGGAACCUAAAGUCCACAGGGUUGAGCGAGUGACCUAAUAAAUGGGUGAACCAAGGCAGGCUGAGGGUACCUGCAAAAGCCACACACCCUCCAAAAAGAGCAAAAGAGACUGAGCUUCCAAAUAUUGAUUCCAUCUGUUGCCAUUGGGGAAAUUUAGAAAGAAACCAUUUUAUUUUGAUUAGCCAUGAAAGUCUUGUGUUCUCUGGUUUAUAGCUUUGUUUUUAUUUUUGAAUCCCCCUCCACUGGGGGGAAAAAUCACCAUAAUAUCUUCAGUGCUUAGACCUUUAAAGGUCAAGUUCCAGGCUGGAGAUCCAGUCACAGCCACAGAAGCACCAAAGGCAGGGCUGGGAACACUUUUGGAAGUGACCUGUCCACCCUACCUCCUCCCACCCCAUCCAGACUGAUUUGGGCACCCUUUUCUCAUAAGUGGAGAGUCUGAGCUAGAGGAGGCUCUGCUUCCCACCCCUGCUGUACCUCCUAUGGCAGUGAAUACCCGCUGUCAUGGUGCCCACUUCCCUUCCUCACCCCAGGGAGCCAAGGGGUCACCGAGUCCAGCCCCUCAACCACCCUGUCUCCAGACUCUCAUCCCACCCCUUCUGUUUCUUCAUCUUUGCUUCAUCCCCCAUUUCCAUUCCACUGGCCAAAGUGCAGCCCAAUUAGAAUCUGAGCUUAGGAGUUCCCAUCAUGGCACAGCGGAAAUGAGUCCAACUAGGAACCAUGAAGUUGCAGGUUCGAUCCCUGGUCUCGCUCAGUAGGUUAAGGAUCUGGCUUUGCCGUGAGCUGUGGUGUAGGUUGCAGGUGUGGCUUGGAUCUCAUGUUGCUGUGGCUGUAGUGUAGGCCGGCAGCUGUAGCUCCAAUAAGACCCCCUAGCCUGAGAACCUCCACAUGCCAUGGGUGUAGCCCUAAAAAGACAAAAAAAAGAACCUGAGCUUGGCCUUUUCCUUCUUAGAAGGGGCUCAGCAGCUCCCUGUAUCCCUGUAGCCCAAACCUUUGAUGGAAUUCAGGGUCUUUCUUGACUUUCCCAGCCUCCCCUCCCCUCCCGCCAAGAAUUCCACACAGCCACUGAGCAGGAGGUGCCUCCCAGGCUGGAGCACCCUCUGCCUCCUCUGCACCCAGGGCACCCUGCACAGCCCUCUCUCUGUCCACCUCCAUCCUGUAUCCAAAUGCUUGUUCGCCAACCUGCCAGUCCUUCAACAACGGUUUGUUCAAGAAGUGAAGGAAAGGCUUGUUUAUCCGGCCCAGCGUGGCCCUCGGCACGCUGUAGGCUCAAAUAAAUGAGAGCUGAGUGAACGGAUUCUACCCUCCUCCCUUCCUCCCUCCCCCUCCUUCCUGCCAUUUUCUUUCAUCGCUGAGAAUCCUAGUUACUGGUCACACCCCAUGAUCUGCUGCCCAGGGGCACUUCUGCAAAAGUCCCCACUGCUUCCUGGUUGGUCCCCUUAUCCCCAGCCCAGCAGAGGAGGACUGAUCACUUGCGGGGAGCAAUCAGGGGACACUGUAAAUGGAAAAGUGACUAGUAUUUAUGUAGACUUGAACUUUCAUUUGAUCCCCCUCCAAGCCCAGAGAGGAUAGUGGCAGCCUCCCCGCUCUGCAGAUGAGGAAAGUGAGGUUCAGAGAGGUUGAGUCAUUUGCCUAGCGUCACACAGCAGCUUGGUGGUAGAGCCUCUACAGAAACUUAGACAUCCAAUCCCAUAUCUUUGUACCAUCUCAGCCAGACACCAAGGGCCUCAAAGAUUGCAAGAUGGAUCUUGGUCUUUGGAUGGGUCUAUGCUGCAUUCACUCAGCUGGCUUUUUUUUCCUAAAUUGCUGCUUCACACUGCUGGCUGGUCACUGGGAAAGGAACACAAUUUUAUCACUGUGUGAGGGCAGAGACAAGCUCAGGACUGGGAAAAGAAAUCAAACUCUUCUUGGAGAAGGCCAGUUGGGAGGUGGCUCCCUUUGGCCUACCUGGCUGUGCAAGGAGGGAGCACCCCAGCCCCCAAUCUGCCAAGGGUGCUCCCUACCAGCUGCUGCAGGCCUUCCCAUCCCUGCCCUUCCCCUUCUCCACAGAGACCUUUCUCUGCCUGAUAAAGGUCCAGCUCUCAACAGGCAUUCAAGACCUUCUCUGAUCCCACUGUGGUGGUGGGUCAGAUAAAUUCUAGAUCUACAGAAUGCAGCCCUUGGGGCUGAAACCCACAUAACACCUUAAAUGUCUAGCAGAAGGACUUGGGGUUUUCUUGUCUCAUCUUGUCUCAUCUCCUUGGGAAGAGUCGAACCAAAAACCCCCCACAAAUCACUGCCAUUCUCCCUCUCUCCCCGCCUGGGCUGCCCUGGGGGUACGUAGCUGGGAGGCACGCCCGGUGCUUGUCUCUGGAGCUCUGUGGUCUCAUCCUGCCUCCAUCACUGUCUGGCUGUCUUCCCUUCUCUUGGCCUCAGUUUCUCCUUCUGCCAAAUAAGAGAGUUUGACUAGAUUGUUUCUAAGAGCUCUUCCUCCUCCAAAGUGCAUAAGUGAGUACACGUUCCUCCUUAGAUGGCUUGGCAUCGCUGCUUUCCCACCUAAGACUUUAUCUUUGAUGAGCCGUUCCUGGAGCCUUCAUUGUAAAACUUGGCAUUGACCAUGAGUUUUGAAUUAUUACGUCCAAAAGUCAUCAAGGCCUUCCUCUUGCCUUUGGAACGGAUGAUAGCAAAUCUUGCUCUUCAGUUCACAGACGUGGCCAUUUCCUGCCUCUCUGGGAACUUCUGCUCUGGCUACCAUGUGCAUUUUCAGUGUCCCCAGCACACCUUUAUGAUCUCACCUCCAAGAUCUUUCUAAUCUGCUCCCCUGCCUGUCCAGAUCCUCCCUGUCCUUCGAAGGCUUCCUUAGUCAUGGCCAACAGGAGCGAGUCGUCUCCUCUGAUCUCCCAUAGCUCUUAUUCCUGUUUCACUACCUCCACUCAUGUAUUCAUUCAUGCAUCCACUCAAGUUUUUGAAUGCCUACAGUGUGCUGGGUAUUUAGGGCAUACAGAGCUAAAAAGAGAAGGUCAUUGCCCUGAUGGAGCUUUCCAGCCUAAUUGGAUUAAUGCAGUAGGGAGACAACUCCAACCUGAAGUUGACUAUAAAAAAAUGCCCAAGGAAGGUAUACAUAGAGGACCAGUAUGAAGAGAGAGAGAAGGAGAGAGAGGGUGUGCUUUCUGGAGACAAGUAUUUAAGCCAGGCCUUUGGAGGAUGGAUAUAGUUUGGACUUGGGGAAAGGGAGGAUGAAGGCAUUUAGGGGAAACUCACAAGAAAGCCCACUCUGUGUCUGGGGAAAAUCAGUCCAGUUUGGCAGGGGCUGAGGCGAGACAUGGUGGAAUGGUGAGGAGUGAGGCCACAUCAGGGAGAACCUUGAGUGCCAGGCUGAGGUUGGAGACAUUUCCUGCAGGGCAGAAGGUGCAUUGGGCAGGGGAAGGUUACACGAGGGAAGGGGUAUUUGGGGGAUGGAUCUGGUACCAGUGAUGGGUAAGGUGCAAACAAGCACAGCUGGAGGCCGAGAAACAAGCCAGGAACCUGGACGUAUGACCUGGAGUGCAGGCUUCAGGCUGUUCAAAGGGGCUGAGUUCCAGUGUGGAGCACUGCAUGGGGAGGGGAGGACUCAGAAAAUGAAAAUCCCCCUCCCUGUUACCAUGGUGUUUCCCAGUCAAGCUCAUAACUAGAGUUCCAGAGUGGAACAGUUGGUCUAUCCCAACUCCUGCUUUUAGCAGCAGAAGGAACUGAAGAUCGUUUCACCUAGAACCCUGAAAAUCUUUGGGAGAAAACUGUCAGUCAUUUAUGCUCAUGGCCAAAGCUCACAUGACCCCGUGCAAUAGAAUUGAAGGGAAAACCCAUUUUCUUAAACUCACUCUGCUGCCAGUGGCAUUCAGCUCUGUCUCAACCAGUUAAAACUCUACAAACCUGUCUCCAGCUUUCCAGAUGAUAAGGCUGAUGAGAUUUUAUGAUAAAUCGUGCCUCUCACCGAGCCCAUCUCCUCCUGUUAAAGAGAAGCGAAAUGAAGUUUGGCACACCAUAGCCCUAUUGGCAGAAGUCACAAGAUAAGAAAAUAAUUAUUAUUUAAAACCAGAGAGUCUUAUCAUUUAUUCAUGAAUGCCACACAUUCCAUAUUAGAUCUUCCACUUCAAUUUAGUCAUAUACUUUGAAGCAAAUUUAUAAGAUUGGAAUUAUUUGGAAAGUGCUACCAGGCUAAUAGGAGAAAAUACAUCACGCUGCACAAGAUGGUGGUGGAGAAUGAGGGCUCUGAAACUGGACUGCUCAGGUUCAAAUUCUGGGUCUGCCACCUCAGGAAAUUUACUCGGCCUCUCAGUGUCUCAGUUUCCCCACUGAAAAUAUUGUGAGCAUAACAAUAUUCGUAUUGAGGGUUUCCUGUUGUGGCACAGCAGAAACAGAUCCAACUAGGAACCAUGAGGUUGCGGGUUCAAUCCCUGGCCUCGCUCAGUGGGUUAAGGAUCUGGCGUUGCCAUGGGCUGUGGUGUAGGUUGCAGGUGAGGCUUGGAUCCUGCAUUGCUGUGACUGUGGUGUGGGCCGGCAGCUACAGCUCUGCUUAUGAAAUGGACAGUACUAAUGGCCUGACCCUAGCCAGAACACAGAUUGGGACUUGAACCCACAUGCCAGGACUCGAACACAGCCUAAACCCAGAUUGGGACUUAAGCCCACGGUUUUAAAUUAGAAUCAUUCACAAUGUGUCUGGACUCACUGAGGUGCAGCUUCUUCAUGUCUCUACGCAGAAGGAAUUCAGCAAGAGACAAAGUGAUAAGCAAGAAAUAGAUAUUAGGAAAAGACGCUUGUGAGAGAUGCAAGCGAGCAGGCAAGGAAGCUCUGCCUGAGCAUCCGGUGGGCUACAGUUCUAUCCUUCAAGGGGAGUGGGGGUCAGAAAGCCUGCCUUUUCCUUUCUGGGAGUACUAGCUCCUCCUUGGUGUCCGGUAAGUUGUGUAUUCAAAUCAGCAGAAGGGCGGUCCUCAAACUCCUGCCCUAGGUCUGAAUCAGAAUGCAGGCCUCAUCCCACCACUCACUCAAGGACCUGAGGCAAUUCCUGCACUUCCACUAGUCAAGCAAGACUGCCUUGUGCUGAUGGCUUUUUUUUGAGCAAUUUAUUUACUUACAGUGAUCUCCCAACAUCCCCUAAGUUUCCCUCGUUAUCCGUGGUCCUUUAUUGGGACUUCCACAACUACCAGUGCCUACUCCAUCCCUAUCAAUUAGACCCCUAGCCUGGGAACCUCCAUAUGCCGUGGGGGCAUGGCCCUGAGAAGACAAAAGACAAACAAAAAACAAAACAAAACAAAACAAUAUUAGUAUUGAAACCACAAAGCUCAGAUGGGAUUCAAACCCAGCCAAAACUCAGGUUGGGACUUGAACCCACAAGCUGAGACUCCAACCCACUGUCUUUUAAUUGAAAUCACACUGCAAGACUCAGGACCUGAAGUUGAGGUUCUUUAUGUCUCAGAGCAGAAGGAAUUCAGGAGGAGGCAAAGUGCUAGGUAAGAAGUCGAUUUGUGGUAGAGUGUGGACUGUCUCAGGAGGCAGGAGGCCCUGAAAUAUGGUGUGGUUAGCUUUUAUGAGCGGGGUAACAGCAUAGGCUAAUGGGUUGGGAGGAUUAUUAUAACUCUUUUGGAGAAGGGGCAGGGGUUCCAGGAUUUGGGCCAUUGCCCACUUUUUGGCCUUUGAUGGUCGGUUUCAAAACUGUCAUGGCACUGAGAGCAUAUCAUUUAGCAUAUGCUAAUGUUUUUAAAUGAGUGUAUAAUGAGGUUCAGGGUCCACUGGAAAUCAGAUCUUCUGCCAUCUUGGUUCUAACCAGUUUUUGUUAUACCCUCAAGGGCUAUGUCAGUCUUUAAGGGUUGUGCCCUGCCUCCUUCCCUCCUGUUUCAGUACUGACUUCAUAACAUAGUUUUAAGGAUUAACUAAUAGACGUAAAAUACUUCGAACACUCAUAAGUACUAUGUAGGCAUUCACCAUUGUUAUUUCAGCCUUUCAGAUUGUAACUAUUCUAUCCUGUUGUCCAGAUGACAGCUAUCCCUAAGCUGAUAAUACAAUGAGGUUUUAAGUUUCCUUAAUUUUUUAUCUAUUUUGUGAGGAAAAGUACCAUGAGAAGAAGACCACCUGAAGCAGUCAUGAGAAAGAAACUCGGUUUAAGAUCAGAUGGUUUUGGUUCUCAGGCUUUUGUCUUCUAAAAUUUUUGAUGCUUCAUUAAUAUAAAUAUUUUUAAUAUCAAUCUAGCCAAAAGGACCAACGGACCCCACAAGACAUUGGGUUAGACAUAAAUUGGAGAGUAAUAAAUAAAAUAUGGAAAACUACAGCAAUGAAAAAUAAGUAACUUCCAGUACACAGCAGUGACAUGGAUAAAUCAUACACACAUUAUGCUGAGUGGAAGAAGCUAGCCACAAAAGGGCACAUAUGGUGUAAUUCCAUUUAUAUGAAGUUGCAGAACAGGCAAAACUAAUUUAUGAUGAUGGAGGUCAGAACAGUUAUUUCGGAAGUGGAUAGCAACUGGGAGCAGGCAUGAGGGAGACUUUUAGGGUGAAAGAAACUUUCUAUAUCCUGAGCUGGGUGGGCAUGGUUACACAAGUGUGUACAUAUGCAAAAAGUCAUAAAUUUGUACACUUAAGAUAUGUGUACUGGAGUUCCCGUCAUGGCUCAGUGGAAACGAAUCUGACUAGCAUCCAUGAGGAUGCAGGUUCAAUCCCUGGCCUUGCUCAGUGGGCGAGGAUCCGACAUUGCUGGGAGCUGUGGUGUAGGUCACAGAUGCAGCUUGUAUCUAGCGUUGCUGUGGCUGUGGUGUAGGCUGGUAGCCAUGGCUCCAAUUCUACCCCUAGCCUGGGAACUUCUAUAUGCUGCUGGUGCAGCCCUAAAAAUGUAUUUCACUAACAAAGAAAAAAUAAACAUGGGCAACCUUGUCUCUAUAAAUAACAGUUUAAGAUUUUAUACAUUUAGACCCUAAUUUUCUUCUUGCUUACACACAUAUUUGUGACCAUUGAGGUUCUUAGCUGAGAAAAUUUCAGUUAAAACUUUAUUUUUCCCAUGAUCUACUUAAUUCAGCUAAAAUGACAUGACUAACUUCGAUUUUAGGUUAAGGCUGAAAUCUUUAGACAUUUGGGGUGAGUGUGAAUGACAGACAGAGAUAAGCUAUUGACUAGCAAAAUCCAACUCUAAAAAUACGACUAAGGGCACUGGCUCUCUACAAUGACUUCCCAGACAAACCCAUUACUUGGAUAUUGCUGAAUCAACUAAAAAUGGAAGUGAGAACAAGUUUGAGCCCUUUUUGCAAUGGAUGGAUGUUUAUGAGGCUAUUAAGUGAAGAGGGUUUCGAAACAAGGGGAUAAAUGGCAUGCUAAUUUGAGAUUGAAUAGCGUAGUGGGAUGAUCUUGGAAAAUAUAAGAAUCCUGUUUAAUGGGACUUGUCUAUUUGUAAUUCAAUAAAUCAGAAUAGUUAAAUUCAAAGAGAUAAAGGGCAUGAGCACUCAGAACAAAAUGACAGGAAUAAAUUUAGCAAAGAAGACUGUAAGAGGCACCCAUCGAAAUUGAGAUAAGGGUCGCUGUCUGGCAUCUUUAACUCUUGAGCCGUGGGGUUGUUAUCCCAGGGAACACAGCAUCUUCUAACUGGAAGCUAAAGACAGCCAUUGGUGUGGGUUCAGAGAGACUCCAUGCUGCCUUAAGAAGCUAAAGCAUAUGCUUCAAGGUCUAAACUAUCCAUUACAAAGGCAGCUCAGAGAUAAUGGAGACUGGGAAAAAAGAAUAGUG